UCUCCCCGCCCGCCGGCCCCUCCAGCCUCCUCCAAGGCGGCGGACCAGGCCGGGCCGGAGUUUUCGGGGUUCAGCCCGCGAGCGGGAGGACCGGGGAGGCGAGGGAGGAGGAAGGCGAGAAGGGCCAGAUCGCGGGAGAGCCCAAUCACGGGGCGAGCUGGACCUGGCUGUGAUCAUUUAUAAUCCUUGACUCCUCCGCUCCGCCACUUGUCAAGAUGACAGGGGUCAUCCGUGAAUAACACUUCACGCUGAUGAAUGGCUCUUGCCGGCUUUCGGCUCUGAUGAGGGGUCUGCCCGCCGCGGAUCGCAAACACUAAUGAACUUACUGCGCCAUUUGAAAUUCACACGCACCAACAAAGUGCGGGGGGUGGGCAUUUCAGGUCAGCUGAGUCACCCGAGGAGGUGGCAGUGCAAGACACUGCCGGGAAGACGGAUUCCGAGGCAGAAGGGUGUAAUUAAGGAUUUCCACCCCCGGUAGGCGGCCCGUCCUUUGCAGAGCCUCUGAAAAUGACCCGCGCCUUCCUUUCCACAGUGUUCUUUCGUCCGAGACCGAAAAGCGCAAAUGACCUUUGGACAGGGAAGGGAGGCAGUAAACACUCAGACUUCCUUACCAGCCCCUCGUCGGCACUGCAGCAGAACAAUUGUCUGCCCCCCAGGUUCAAGCACCUAGGCCUCCUCCCCGCAUCACCUGGCCAGGGGCGGACCCGGGAGUCCUCCGAAGGCUCCACUCCCCACUUUUACUACUCUUCUUUCCUCUCCAUUCUCCCCUCAGAUUAGCAGCCGGACACUGUCCCUGCCUCGAUUUUGUUUGCUGUGGGAGGGAAAAAGAAAGUAUGCUGCUCCUCCCAAGACACCGGCCACUUUCUACUCACUGAAGUUCCCACCGCAGCGCUGGCUCCCGGCUCCCUAGCUCCCGCCCCCUGUCUGCAGGAAAGCCCUCCCCCGGAGCUUCCGAAACUGCUGGAGGUUCCAGAGUUUUGUAGCUCCGAAUGGGCGACCUGAGCCGAACCGCUCUCUGGCUGGGUGGUCGGCGGGAUCCUUCAGGCUCCUUUCGGGUCCGGGACGGGGCGGCGGCAGAGGUGGGGCGUGCGUGCUUGGGGCUGCCGAGUGAGUGCGGCUCCCUGGUGCGCGCCCGAGCAUCUCCCCGCCCUCUCCUGGGACCAGCAGUCGGCCCGUGGAGGGCUAGGAGCCCGCGACCAGGCCUGCCCCGGCCGUCGCCAACCUGUCCUUGGAAGCGUGGCGGAGACUGGUGCGCUCUCAGCCUCGUCGCGCCAGCCUCCUCGCGCCACCCUCCACUUUCAGCUUCAGAGCAGAGGAUUCCGCCGACCUCUACCUGUACCUGUACUCGGCCGUUAGGAAAUCCACUUGCAUUUUUAACUACCGUGCAGAACCAGAAACAGAUCGAGCACUGGGAGAACAAGGACGACGCCUCCUAGGAAAGCCUGAACCUUUAUGUUAGUUUAUCCAAAGUUUGGGCUAGAAGUGAGGAGAAUCCCUAAACUCGAACUGGGGUGCCCAGACCCACAGCCCGUGUUCCCGAAGUUGCUAAGUGCCCGAGCGCAGCGCGUUAAGUAGAGAAGUCUUGGUAGUAAGCGAACCCGACCCGGCUCUCGGGGCGCUAGUGACGGAAAGCAGCACGCAUAUCUUUGCGGGAAGAAUCUAGAGUCGCCCUGGGAUAGAUCCAUCUCCUUCUGCCACUGAAUUUCACACUUGAAAAAGAUAAGGUCAUGGGGGCGGAUGAAUGAUAUCCCCCACUCAUUUAGCCAUUCUUAUUAUUAUAAAAAAAAAGGCUUGUCAAUUAUGAAGGUAUGUCCCAGAUAUUACAGGAAGAUCAUGCAAACUACUUGAAAUUUGAAUCCGGACAUGAUCGUAAGGAAACUCUUUAAUAAAGCACUUUUGUGGCCCAGUUCCCACACACACACAAAAGUAUUAGGUCUUUAAAACUUUUCUAAGUAUGUAAAUAAGUGAGACUCCCUCUUACUGUCUACGAAUACACAAUAAAGAGAUGAGACACUGCCCCAAUCCUAAAGAGGCCAGAACUGAAGUGCUACAUUGUGGGAGUUAGGGGAUGCUUCUUUUUUCCAGCUCUUUUUUCUAGAAUCCUCAUUACAGCUAACGCUGGUAAUAAAGGUAGGAAAACAAUAGAACUCAUAAAACUUAGAAAUGGUAAUAAAUCUUGGCUCCUGUCUCUAGCCCAGUUCCUUCUUACAUGAGAUUCAAAGUUUUUCAGUAUGCAAUGCUGAACAUUCACACUAUGGUUGCAAAA
rnacentral:antisense_RNA from 1 species